ACGACACCUCACCCAUUUGUCUAGAGCUCCAAACCCCAAAGACAACAUCUCUCUAGCAAAAGAAAGCUGCAGGAAAUGGCAGAAAAUCACCCGCUUAAUCUUGGUUUCCAAGUAGACAGCAUCGUAGCGCAGCAGGCCAUUUUUGCCCUGUUCGUGGACACGUUAAGCAACCAAAUCCAAGUGAAAUACCAGCCAAUGCGAGUUUCUCCAUUUGACACCCACCAGAGGGCCAUGUCAACAUUUUUGCUGCUCGGUUUAUAUACGCCACAACAUCAGUUGCAGAGGUUAUACUCCGGACGCAGAAAUCAGUCCAUCAAAGACUUGUCAGCAAUAUUCGCCUCUUUGCUAGCGCCCUUGCUACAAUUCUGCUCCUGGUGACUCUUUCCCUGAUUGUGUCCUGCAUCAUUUCUGUCAUGUGGACCUGUUUAUUUGUGAAGUUAGCAUAUGAAUCAUGUCACGAUCUCUGCCAGUUGCUAUGCCAAACAACUGAUGAGGUACUGGACAUGUUGAAACAGCUAAUUGCAACUGUGAGGAGCCCCAAAGAGAAACCAAACCAGCUGAAUGUGUAGGUUCUUACAGGUCCCGAGACAGAUUAGGACAGUGUUAAGUCAUUGACUUGUUGCUCCUAGCCGCUUUUUGUAAUUAUAUUGUGAAGAUAUAUUGUUAAAUCAAGAUUUUUUAUGCCUUCUGUA